UACGUAGGGUCCGAGCGUUGUCCGGAAUUACUGGGCGUAAAGAGCUCGUAGGUGGUUUGUCGCGUUGUUCGUGAAAACUCACAGCUCAACUGUGGGCGUGCGGGCGAUACGGGCAGACUAGAGUACUGCAGGGGAGACUGGAAUUCCUGGUGUGAGCGGUGGAAGUGCGCAGAUAUCAGGAGGAACACCGGUGGCGAAGGCGGGUCUCUGGGCAGUAACUGACGCUGAGGAGCGAAAGCGUGGGGAGCGAACAGG
rnacentral:rRNA from 1 species